GUUUGAAAUGUCUUGGUCUUGUCCAGGAAGUCUCUUGUGGCUGUGGUGGGCUAUGUAGGUCAGCGGUAUCCAGCUAGACAUGCGUGUGCUAGAGAAAUGAAAGUCUGCCCUAUAGCAGCAUUCAGAGGACUCUGAAAUGUCCACCCUGGUCAGUGAGUUCGACAGACAGCAGUUGUCAGCAAAAGGCAGUGCAACAAACCUGCUGCCAGGAAGGCUGCAGCUGCUUUUAUUUCUUGUGAUCAGGGCCACGAUUUGGGGUGCUUGGAUGGAGAUGAAAAUGGAAGUAAUGAAACUUGGCUGAUUUCAGCUUUUUUAAAGCUCCAAGAAUUAGUCAUGCUAGGCAAAAGACAUCAGUCAAAUGUGACUCAGAUCCUCCUCCUCUCUCCCUGCGGGGAGUGUAAAAGAGUUGGUCUAACUCAUGUUCGUUGUCCAAGCAGGGCAUCAUUCCCACUUUACGGACGUCUUUGAGUCUCGUGAUGUCCCCUGUGCUUAUGGCUGGGAACGUUUGUGAGCUGGUGGUAUUCCUCAGAGUUGGUAAUGCAAAAGAAAACUAGCAAGUCCAAGCCCGGGAACGUUCACAGCUGUAGGAGAAGUUUUUGCUGCAGGAGCAGAGGACUGAAGGCAGUCUGCUUUCCAAUGGGGUUGUCUCCUGCUCUUCUUCCCCGUGGCAGGGGGAGCAGCACGGAGGUGACCCCCAUGCUGCUGGGUCUGCCCAUUGCCCAGUUCACUGCUGCUGCGUGGGGAGCCCGUGGGUGGGUGCAGGCACCCAGCGAAGGAAGCAGGAUGGGAGAAGGAGAGAGCUCUGACUGUUCCUAGCGUGGAAGUGGAGCUGCUGAGCAGAAGCCAGCAGCUCUGCUGCUGCUUUUCUACUCAGAAAAGAGACCAGCUGACUGAGGAAGUACUGUUGCCUUCAGCAGCAAAAAGGAUUUGGGCUUCAAGCCUGCCUCAAAAGGGCUACAGAGUAAGAAGCACUCAGCAUUUCACCAUUCCUGUGGAAAAGACCAACCAAAGGUUUAAUGAAGGAAGUCUUGUUUCUGAACAUUUAACCACGGUUCCAAUCUCAUAAUGGUCCCUAGCAGGAAGGAGGAGGGGGCUCUGGUUCAAUUUCUUGCUUCCAGAGAAGACACGUGCCCUGGGCUUUUCCACAUCAGCUGAUCUUUUCAACAUCAGACAAGCAGAAUAUUGUUGGCUUGCUCAAGUCCAGCUCUUGAAUACAGGACUGGAAAUGAGGUGGCAGAAGGCAAAGGUAAAGCAAGAGCUCAGGUAUGUUCCCUGCUUAUCCUGUGACAUAAAAAUAUAGAUCAGGUGGCCCGAUGCUUCCUGCUGCUGCCUAACCAUCAGUCCUGUCCCUAAGGAGAGGGGAGAAGGAACAAAAGGCUCAAUCCAUGAUAGCUGUAGUAGGGAUUGACGUGCUUCCCCAGCUGGGUGCAGCAUGCAUUCCCAGGAUUGGCAACAAAUUCAGCUCAGUUCAGCUAUGGAUGAGCUUUCCUUGGAAACUACUGGAUUGAUUCUCUACCUUUGGCUACAGGUAAUUGCUUUGCCUCCUGUAGUUAUUUUGGGAUAAUUAGAAGAAGAUUGUGCAAAGAGUAGCAAAACUGUUGUUGCAUCCUCUCUCUUUGUGGUCUCUUCCUUUAGAAGUGAUUAUGAUUUUUUUUUUUUUUUGGCCCAGUCUGUCUUCAUGCUUUCUACCUAGCUGAUCUGUUACCAGUGUGGAAUAGGAAGGGAAAAUGAAAGUAUACUUUCAGCACAUUGCUAUGUUCUGUUCAUUUUUACAGCACAGUAACUAGUGCAAGCCAUUAUUGGAACUGCAGUGGAAAAGCCGAAUGAUUUAAGGACUUUAAAAUUCACAUUUUCUUCCAGCCUGAUAUAGUUAUGGACUGUUAAUACACUGGGCUGAACUCUGGAAUAGAUGCAGCUCAGUAAAAGAUAAACACAUUCUGGCUGGCUUAGCAUGUAUUAAGGCAGUUUUCUUAUGCUCUCUCUUUAAUCAUUUGACUUUUUUUUUCCUUCGUGAAGUGGUACACUUUUAAAAGGUGAAAAGAGGCAAGGUAGCAGACGGUUCCUCUAAUAAGGGUUCAUAAAAUUCCCACUGAUCUGUUACUUUAGAAGUGCUAUCAUGCUGCUGUGCUUAAUGAAAGAUCAGUCAUGUAAAUUGUUCCUGAGAUUCAACUUAAUUACAUGCAAGAGAUGGAACCUCUGUUACAAAGGCCUAAUAAAAUAUCAGGUGGCUUUAAUUAAGCCAGUAAGGUGGCAGUUUUAAACUGAAAUCUGCUUGCUUAAUAAUGAAAAUGACAGUGGAUUUGAGCAAGGCAUUUAUGGACAGCAUGUCACUUCUCCACUGCAAGGUAAGAGUCACAAUUUUCAAGCUGUGUUAGUGAGAAACCCUAAGUUCAUUGUCAGUGUUUAUCCUCUAAGCCUCAGACUACAUGGCCCACACCUGGAGAUUUCCUAUUGAAAGAUUAUUUUAGCCUGAGACUUGGCAUAUUAUAACUAGGGUGAUUUUUCUUAAUACUUGUAAAGGAAGUCAUUUAUCCAGAUAAAUAAUUGAAAUCUGGAGAUGCUUCAGGAUGACAUGGCUGUGACUGUUACUAAAUAUUGAAACGUUAAAUAAAUAAAGAUGCUUAAAGUUUUAGACCUUUAAUGUGACUAAUUUUGUAAUCGUUUGAAUGCCUUCCUAUAGAUUUUCAAUCACAUAUUCGGGAUUUGGA